rnacentral:lncRNA from 1 species
CUCAGGGGAUGUUGGGAAAAGUCUGCUCCCGACUUGCUCCUUGCUGGUAAUAAAGGUGGGCUGGGAGGCCUCCCACUGCACGGGGCUUGGAAUUUGGCAGGAUUUCAGAAGAAAAAGGGUCUUGUGCUACUCCUUGGAGGUGGAGAGGUGGGGAGAGGGAAAAGCCACCCGAGCCCUGAUCUGAGCUGCACCGUGAGCUGUCUCAGCCCAUCAGGAGUUCUAGGGCGGAUUCUGUCAUUCCUGUCACCAAAUGAUGCUGCCCGAGGAAUUCAUUUCCAUCCCCCCCAGCAGACUCCCCCCAAAAAAAUCCACGCAGUAAGUCAAAGGAAUUAAAUCUGAAGCUGCCUGUGGAAGGAUAAUGAAUGUGAAAGACAGACGUGGUCUCUGGUAAAACUCUCUUCUUUCAAAUUCAGAGACUGGGGCAGCGCUAUCUCCGAGGGGAAGUACACAAAAAGCUGCAAUCAAAAUGACCUCUCCAAAACAUAAAGAGGACUUAAUAGGAUUGCUCUGAAUUCCAAAGGGGUGCUGCAGCCGGCACGAGUGGGCCUGGCAG